UCAAAGAUUAAGCCAUGCAUGUGUCAGUACAAACUAAACUAAAGUGAAACCGCGAAUGGCUCAUUAAAUCAGCUAUGAUUCAUUGGAUCUGUACACCCAGUUUUCCUUGGAUAACUGUGGUAAUUCUAGAGCUAAUACAUGCAUAUAUAGUCCCUGACCUUACGGGAAGGGCGCUUUUAUUAGUAUCAAAACCGGUCGGGCUUCGGUCUGUAAACCCACCAGUGAUGACUCUGGAUAACUUUAAGCUGAGCGCACGGUCUUUGCACUGGCGCCGCUUCUUUCAAGUGUCUGCCUUAUCAGCUUUCGAUUGUAGGUUAUGCGCCUACAAUGGCUAUAACGGGUAACGGGGAAUCAGGGUUCGAUUCCGGAGAGGGAGCCUGAGAAACGGCUACCACAUCUAAGGAAGGCAGCAGGCACGCAAAUUACCCACUCCCGGCACGGGGAGGUAGUGACGAAAAAUAACGAUGCGAGACUCAUCCGAGGCCUCGCAAUCGGAAUGAGUACACUUUAAAUCCUUUAACGAGGAUCGAUUGGAGGGCAAGUCUGGUGCCAGCAGCCGCGGUAAUUCCAGCUCCAAUAGCGUAUAUUAAAGUUGUUGCGGUUAAAAAGCUCGUAGUUGGAUUUCAGUAUUGGACUGAUGGUUCACCGUCUGGUGUUUAACCUAUCACGCUCCGAAACCAGCUAUCACAACAACUUUGUGUAUGCCCCACUAGCUCACACGGGGUGCUCUUAAUCGAGUGUCCCGAGUGGCUGGUAUGUUUACUUUGAAAAAAUUAGAGUGCUCAGAGCAGGCUAACUGAAUGGCCUGAAUGUCUAUGCAUGGAAUAAUGUAAAAGGACCUCGGUUCUAUUUUGCAGGUUUUCUUUGGAACCCGAGGUAAUGACUAAUAGAGACAGAUGGGGGCAUUAGUACUGCGACGCUAGAGGUGAAAUAAGGAUGUUUUCAUUAAUCAAGAACGAAAGUUAGAGGUUCGAAGGCGAUCAGAUACCGCCCUAGUUCUAACCAUAAACGAUGCUGACCAGCGAUCCGCCGGCGUUAUUCCCAUGACUCGGCGGGCAGCUUCCGGGAAACCAAAGUCUUUGAGUUCCGGGGGAAGUAUGGUUGCAAAGCUGAAACUUAAAGGAAUUGACGGAAGGGCACCACCAGGAGUGGAGCCUGCGGCUUAAUUUGACUCAACACGGGAAACCUCACCAGGCCCAGACACUGGAAGGAUUGACAGAUUGAGAGCUCUUUCUCGAUUCAGUGGGUGGUGGUGCAUGGCCGUUCUUAGUUGGU
rnacentral:rRNA from 1 species